UCUCAAUCAUCUAAGGUAGUAGAAAAUUUCGACACCUAUACAAUUAUGGCGGUUCAAUUCAUCUUAGAGAAACUCGCUUUAUAAUCGACACUACUCGUUAUUUCCAACUUACUUUAAAAAGCCUAUAUACCGCCGUUAAGAGUACACCCUCUAGUAAAGUAUCCUAAAUAUAAAAAUUAUAAAAAAUCAGGUCAAGGUGUAGCUAAUUAGUAAGAAAAAGUAAGUUACAUUAAGAACAACUUAAGGAAUUUUAAUUAGCUUUACAAAGAAAAAGAAUUUAUUUGUACUGAAAAAUCACCAAUUUUACAUGAACAUUUAGAAUAGAACGC
rnacentral:rRNA from 1 species